GUAGGUGGCAAGCGUUGUCCGGAAUUAUUGGGCGUAAAGCGCGCGCAGGCGGUCCUUUAAGUCUGAUGUGAAAGCCCACGGCUCAACCGUGGAGGGUCAUUGGAAACUGGGGGACUUGAGUACAGAAGAGGAAAGCGGAAUUCCAAGUGUAGCGGUGAAAUGCGUAGAGAUUUGGAGGAACACCAGUGGCGAAGGCGGCUUUCUGGUCUGUAACUGACGCUGAGGCGCGAAAGCGUGGGGAGCAAACAGGGAUUAGAUACCCUGGUAGUCCACGCCGUAAACGAUGAGUGCUAAGUGUUAGGGGGUUUCCGCCCCCUUAGUGCUGCAGCUAACGCAUUAAGCACUCCGCCUGGGGAGUACGGCCGCGAGGCUG
rnacentral:rRNA from 1 species